UACAGGAUCUCUUAGGCUCGGGUAUGCCGCUGAGCCUAUCAGACCUCGUAAUAAUAUCGGAUAAAGCUAAAGUCGGAAAACCGAACCAAAGCACCAACCGAAAUAUAAAAGAAUUAAAUAGAAUUUCUGACUGUAUGGUGUAGUUCUUUUACCCAGACAUGGGGCCUGUCAGAGAUCAAUUAAGCCCAUGAGUCUAGAAGUUCUA
rnacentral:lncRNA from 1 species